ACUGGGGACCACCUUAACGUGACAACCUUAGCCGGUAACCAUGCGCUACGUGUAUUUGCUAAGCAAGAUUUUCAUUGAGAAAAAGGUUAAUUUGAAUGAACCAUCAGAGUAGUUUGUCGACCUCCUCUACUUCCAAACAGAGGUUGAGGAUUCACUGAGAAUGAGGCGAUCGAGAAUCCAUCACUUUAUGCCGAUCUUAUCAAUGAUGCUCUCGCUGCGGACAAAUAGGUGAAUUCCAAAGAGAAAGGCACGGCUUCAAACUCAAAGCAGCGGAUAAGCUGGGCGAAUACUCGAAGCUCAUUCUAAUGAGAAAGGCAAGGGCAAGAGGAGGUUGAUAAGAGGAUUGUUGCACCAUCUACGCCAUCUGUUUUUGCAGUAUCACAACGGUCUAUGUCGCAUAAUCAAAGUAGGUCGACUUCGAAGGUUUCUAGUGAUGAGUGUGCUUAUUGCAAAGAAAAACAACAUUGAAAGUCUCAGUGUCCAUUAUUGUUGAACAAAGGUAAACUACCGCAGUAACAAAAAUGACCAUCACAACAGCAAUAUCAGCAACAACGACCUCAACAACCACUAUUGCUAUAUCAGAAUGCUUCAUAGAAAUCUGGACUCACGAUCUCAGAAGGUGAUCAUGAUAGGUCGUAGGCAAGGGGGACUCUAUGUCUUGAAUAAGCUUCAAGUACCAGAUAUUGCAGCUUCUAGUGUCAAUUUGUCAUAUUUUCGAUUGAGUUGUUCUUCUGAUUUUUUUUAUUUAUAGCAUAUUCAUCUAGGUCAUGUUUCAGCCUUUCAUUUAUAAUUUUUAGCAUCGUCUGGAGUAUUAGGAACUUUAAAAAGUCAUGAUAUUUCAUAUUAUU